AGGCGGCAGUCUGAGAAGCACGUCUGCGUCUAAGGUGGUGGUGCUGGAGGCUUUGCCCGGCCAGUCCCCUCCUGAGGAUUUGUACCUGGGGGCUUACAGAACCAACGGCAGCCUGCUCCAGCCGGGUCAGGACACUUGGGCAGCACCUUGCUCUUCACCUACCAGCUGCAUUCCAGAACAGGGAGCAGCUACUGCUUAUUGAAAACAUACCACAGGCAACAGCUCAUCACGACCAGGGCCGCCCUGGGAGCCCCGGUAGGCCCUCGGCAUCUCUGACUGGCCUCCUCACCCUUGGUUUAACCUCACUCCGACCACUUCUCUGAAUGCAAGUGGGAAAUGCUUCUCAACUGGGAACCU